rnacentral:rRNA from 1 species
GACGAACGCUGGCGGCGUGCUUAACACAUGCAAGUCGAACGGUGAAGGGGUCUGCUUUUGUGGGCCCUGGAUGAGUGGCGAACGGGUGAGUAACACGUGAGUAACCUGCCCCCUUCUUCUGGAUAACCGCAUGAAAGUGUGGCUAAUACGGGAUAUUCUGGGUCUGUCGCAUGAUGGGUCUGGGAAAGAUUGCGCCUUUGGGUGUUGUUGGUGGGGGAUGGGCUCGCGGCCUAUCAGCUUGUUGGUGGGGUGAUGGCCUACCAAGGCGGUGACGGGUAGCCGGCCUGAGAGGGUGGACGGUCACACUGGGACUGAGACACGGCCCAGACUCCUACGGGAGGCAGCAGUGGGGAAUAUUGCACAAUGGGCGCAAGCCUGAUGCAGCGACGCCGCGUGAGGGAUGGAGGCCUUCGGGUUGUAAACCUCUUUCGCCAGUGAAGCAGGCCUGCUCCGUGUGGGUGGGUUGACGGUAGCUGGAUAAGAAGCGCCGGCUAACUACGUG